rnacentral:tRNA from 1 species
GCCCGCGUAGCUCAGUUGGAAGAGCAUUGGGCUAGUAUUCCAAAGGUCGUAGGUUCGAAUCCCGCCGUGGCCA